UACGUAGGGGGCUAGCGUUGUCCGGAAUCAUUGGGCGUAAAGAGCGUGUAGGCGGUCCGGUAAGUCCGCUGUGAAAGUCGGGGGCUCAACCCUCGAAUGCCGGUGGAUACUGUCGGGCUAGAGUGCGGAAGAGGCGAGUGGAAUUCCUGGUGUAGCGGUGAACUGCGCAGAUAUCAGGAGGAACACCCGUGGCGAAGGCGGUUCUCUGGGACGGUACUGACGCUGAGACGCGAAAGCGUGGGGAGCGAACAGG
rnacentral:rRNA from 1 species